GACGAACGCUGGCGGCGUGCCUAAUACAUGCAAGUCGAGCGCUCAAGCGUGGUACUUGUUCCAACUGCAUUAGCAGCGAACGGGUGAGUAACGCGUGGGUAAUCUUCCUUUAAGCGUGGGACAACUUUUGGAAACGAAUGCUAAUACCGCAUAAAAACUUUAAACACAUGUUUUAAUUUUGAAAGAUGCAAUUGCAUCACUUAAAGAUUAUCCCGCCUUGUAUUAGCUAGUUGGUUAGGUAAAGGCUCACCAAGGCGAUUAUACAUAACCAACCUUGGAGGGUGGACGGCCAAAAUGGGACUGGGACCAGGCCCCAACCCCCACGGGAGGCCGCAGUAGGGAAUCUUUCGCCUUGGACGAAAGUCUGAACGAGCAAAGCCGCGUGAGUGAAGAAGGUUUUCCGAUCGUAAAAAUCCGUUGGUAGAGAAGAAAGUUGGUGAGAGUGGAAAGCUCACCAAGUGACGGUAACUAAUCAGAAAGCCACGGCUAACUACGUG
rnacentral:rRNA from 1 species